rnacentral:lncRNA from 1 species
AGGAUCUCCCUAUUUAGGUAUUUAAUCCUUUUGAAAAGACAUCCGAGUGAGAAGGAUUGAUGGUACUUUUCUCCUCAAAAAAAUCAUAAAUUUAGACCUAGCCUUCCCUCUUCAUUUCAUGACUGGAAAGGUCAUUUUUUCUUUGUCUGGGCUCCCAUUCCAUAGGAUUUUAGGACUUCCUAAGGAUGUCCGGACAUCAAACAUAACUCCAAUGAUGAAAU